UGGAGAGUUUGAUCCUGGCUCAGGACGAACGCUGGCGGCGUGCUUAACACAUGCAAGUCGAACGGAAAGGCCCCUUCGGGGGUACUCGAGUGGCGAACGGGUGAGUAACACGUGGGUGAUCUACCCUGCACUUCGGGAUAAGCCUGGGAAACUGGGUCUAAUACCGGAUAGGACCAUGAGAUGCAUGUCUUAUGGUGGAAAGCUCUUGCGGUGUGGGAUGGGCCCGCGGCCUAUCAGCUUGUUGGUGGGGUGACGGCCUACCAAGGCGACGACGGGUAGCCGGCCUGAGAGGGUGUCCGGCCACACUGGGACUGAGAUACGGCCCAGACUCCUACGGGAGGCAGCAGUGGGGAAUAUUGCACAAUGGGCGCAAGCCUGAUGCAGCGACGCCGCGUGGGGGAUGACGGCCUUCGGGUUGUAAACCUCUUUCAGCAGGGACGAAGCGCAAGUGACGGUACCUGCAGAAGAAGCACCGGCCAACUACGUGCCAGCAGCCGCGGUA
rnacentral:rRNA from 1 species